rnacentral:misc_RNA from 1 species
GAAAUGCGAUACGUAGUGUGAAUUGCAGAAUUCCGUGAAUCAUCAAAUCUUUGAACGCAUAUUGCACUCGAGACUUCGGUUUAGAGUACGUUUGCCUCAGCGUCGGGUUAAUAUCACUCCCUCCAAUCCUUGGAUUGAUAAGGAGUGGACCUGGUCGUCUCAGCUAUCUUACAAUAGCUGGGUCGACUGAAGUGCAGAGGUUAGUGCAAGGACCUUUCAAAGGCCGCAACUGGGUAGGCAGCUUACUGCUAAUCUUACUAGUUGUUGGCUUGGUGUAUUGUGCUCGACCCACAACCAGGAAACCUUACAUGUUUAUUUUCUCGACCUGAGCUCAAGCGAGGACACCCGCUGAACUUAA